ensembl:lncRNA
GGAGUGCUUGAUUCUGAUUGGUCAGUUGUGACAUUUUGAGGUGCGUUGUUCCCCACAUAACAACAAUUGCCAUUAGAAACACCAAAUAACAAACCACUCAUCCGGGUAUUUGAGGCUGGUGCUUCAUUCACAUCUCUCAUAUCACACUGCCACACUAUAUCUAGUUUCAUUCAAAUGCAACUGCAAUCAUCUUGUGCCUCAGAUAUUGACUGUAUUUACUGUAAAAUGAAACCAGAGGACAUGUAGUUUUGUACACUGUAAUAAAUGUAAGAUAAUAAACAGGACGUCCUGUUUUAUCUACUGGCUAAAUCAAAGUGGGAUCACUUUUAUACGCAAGUGAUGGAAAGCAGCGAGUGACGGACAGCCCACACACUUUGGAGCACGUCAGGACACCCACUUUCACCUUGAUUGGCAUCGAAGAGUACGGAGAGCACACGGGAAGCACCAACCAGCAGAAAGCGGAUCAGGACACUUCACCAGGCACCCUUCACUUAUCAAUAAACCCACCCUCCGGGGCAUUUAAUUCACGCACCUCUUGUCGAGUGUUUCUUCACCCCGUGACAGUGGUGGAGAAUGCGGGCAUUACAGUGAGGAAUCACCGACAAGAUCACCGCCCCAACGCCUAUUUUUUUUCCUUUUUUUCCCUGUUUCUGUCACCAGCACCACGGAAG